AGAGAGUGUGUUUUAACAGUUAUUAAAUAAAAAACUAGCAAAACGAGUUGCGCGGUGUCCCCACCACAUUUCAACGCAAAGUUACGCC